CUCGGUCGUAAGUACCUCCUUAUAAGCAUAUAUUUUACAGGAAAUUGAGAAUAUUCACCAUUUAUCUAAAGAUACUGAACAUGAAAUUGAAAAAGACAAUAAUUUAAAUCCAACACAUUCAAAUAAAAUUGAAAACUUAAACUUCCUUCAUUGCCACAAAAAUGAUAUUAGUUCUUUUGUGAAUAAAAGUUUGUCUGAUGCUGAUAAACAUCUUGUGCUUACAAAUUUGUGGGUACCACCUUGGAAAUUAUAUAUUUCCGUUAACUAAAAAAAAUGAGAAACGUGGGUUACGCUUUCAAUAUAAGUGGCUUAUGGAAUUCCAAUGGUUAACAUACUCUGAGAAAAACCAUGGUGCUUUUUGCAAAUACUGUGUUCUAUUAGCUAAAGUUGGUGGCAAAAAUGGUCAGCCAUUAGGAUAUUUUGUUAAAACAGCAUUUGAUACAUGGAAAAAAGCUAAACAGGUAAUUUAUUAUUUUUACUUACUUAUUGUUAAUUUACUACUAUUUUUUAAAAUACCUAUUUAUAGGUUUCUUAGAUACCAUAUUUACUAAUUGAAUGAUUGUUUUAGGAAUUUCGUGAACAUUCAGAAACAAUAUACCAUACAUUAUCCACUUUAGAUGCUGAUCAUUUUUAAAAGUGUUAAAAAAUACCAAAUCAGCAAUAAUUAAUCAAUUGGAUGAUAGUAGAUAUGUUGUAAGAACUAAGAAAUUAUUUGUUUUAUACUUUUAUGUUAAUUAAAAUUAUUUUAAUCAGAUUAAAACAAAUUCAAGCUAAUAGGAAACGUCUCAUUCCUAUAAUUGAGUGUAUUCUCUUAUGUGGUCGCCAAGAAAUUGCUCUAAGGGGGCAUAGGGAUUCUGGAAAUAUUUUCACUCAAGAAAUAUCGAACCAAGGCAAUUUCAGGUCAAUUUUAUUAUACAGAUGUAAAGGUGAUGAAUAUUUAACAAAUAUCUUAAAAUCAGAGGGUCGUAAUAAAUAUAUAACUCCACAAAUUCAAAAUGAGAUAAUUUCAUCAUGUGGAAAUUUAAUCUUGCAAACAAUUGUAAAAAAGUCAACAAUUCUCAGUGUUUCACUGUCUUGGCAGAUGAAACUACUGACAUAUCUGUUACUGAACAACUUGCUCUUUGUGUACGAUUUAUUGAUGAACAAAACAAUGUAAAUGAGUGCUUUCUUAAAUUUGCUUGUAGCUUAUCCAGUAUUUUAAUGUAUCGGUGGUACUUUG